rnacentral:rRNA from 1 species
UACGUAGGGCGCGAGCGUUGUCCGGAAUUAUUUGGGCGUAAAGAGCUCGUAGGCGGCCUGUUGCGUCCGCUGUGAAAUCCCGGGGCUCAACCCUGGGCGUGCAGUGGAUACGGGCAGGCUGGAGGCAGGCAGGGGAGAACGGAAUUCCCGGUGUAGCGUGAAUGACGCAGAUAUCGGGAGGAACACCGGUGGCGAAGGCGGUUCUCUGGGCCUGUGCUGACGCUGAGGAGCGAAAGCGUGGGGAGCGAACAGG